AAAGGAAGGAAGGAGAAUGGCUGGCCAAUCGAAUUAGAAAACGGCAUAAAGAAUGUAAGCUCUUUGGUGCAGGGAUGGUCUCUUACCAUGUGCAUGUAUAACCCACCGGUGAGUGUGUGGUACAGGGCCCCUGCUGUCUGAUGCACAGAAGAGAGGCUGCUAGUCUUGCAUUGACUGUUGACUCUUUCAAGAUGUCUUUGCGUGUUGGACAUACCCAAUGGCUGAGGUUACCUGCUGAUGAUAACAUGCCAUCUUGAGUUUUGUAGUGAGUGUGCGGCUCACCAAGACUCUGAGAACUGCAACAGCUUCCUGCAUGAAGAAAUUGUUAGAUGUUGAGCAUGCUCAAGGGACACCAGGGG